AAUUUUAAGGUCAAGCUACAAAGGGCGCAUGGUGAAUGCCUUGGCACUAGGAGCCGAAGAAGGACGCGAUAAGCUGCGAUAAGCCUUGGGUAGCCGCAAAUAGGCUGAGAUCCAGGGAUUUCCGAAUGAGGAAACUCACAUGGGUAACCCCAUGUAUCAUGCACUGAAUACAUAGGUGUAUGAGGGUAAACCCGGGGAACUGAAACAUCUAAGUACCCGGAGGAAGAGAAAGAAAAAUCGAUUUCCUAAGUAGCGGCGAGCGAACGGGAAAGAGCCCAAACCAGAAACUUGUUUCUGGGGUUGUGGAUAGAUCAUGAAAGAAGAGAUAUCUUAAUCGAAGAGGGCUGGAACGCCCUACCAUAGAAGGUAAUAGUCCUGUAGGUAAAAAGAGAAAACUUUAAGAUCUAAUCCAGAGUACCACGAGACACGUGAAACCUUGUGGGAAGCAGGGAGGACCACCUCCCAAGGCUAAAUACUACCUAGUGACCGAUAGUGAAGCAGUACCGUGAGGGAAAGGUGAAAAGAACCCCGGAAGGGGAGUGAAAUAGAACCUGAAACCGUGUGCCUACAACCGAUCGGAGCACGUUAAAGUGUGACGAUGUGCUUUUUGUAGAACGAGCCAGCGAGUUAC
rnacentral:rRNA from 1 species